GAUGAACGCUGGCGGCGUGCUUAACACAUGCAAGUCGAACGGUAAGGCCCUUCGGGGUACACGAGUGGCGAACGGGUGAGUAACACGUGGGUGAUCUGCCCUGCACUUCGGGAUAAGCCUGGGAAACUGGGUCUAAUACCGGAUAGGACCCUGGGAUGCAUGUCCUGGGGUGGAAAGCUUUUGCGGUGUGGGAUGGGCCCGCGGCCUAUCAGCUUGUUAGUGGGGUGAUGGCCUACCAAGGCGACGACGGGUAGCCGGCCUGAGAGGGUGACCGGCCACACUGGGACUGAGAUACGGCCCAGACUCCUACGGGAGGCAGCAGUGGGGAAUAUUGCACAAUGGGCGCAAGCCUGAUGCAGCGACGCCGCGUGAGGGAUGACGGCCUUCGGGUUGUAAACCUCUUUCAGCACCGACGAAGCGCAAGUGACGGUAGGUGCAGAAGAAGGACCGGCCAACUACGUGCCAGCCGCCGCAGUAA
rnacentral:rRNA from 1 species